rnacentral:rRNA from 1 species
AAUGAACGCUGGCGGCAGGCCUAACACAUGCAAGUCGAACGGCACCUUCGGGUGUAGUGGCGGACGGGUGAGUAACGCGUGGGAACGUACCUUUUGCUUCGGAAUAGCCUCGGGAAACUGGGAGUAAUACCGAAUGUGCUCUUCGGAGGAAAGAUUUAUCGGCAAAAGAUCGGCCCGCGUUGGAUUAGCUAGUUGGUGAGGUAAUGGCUCACCAAGGCGACGAUCCAUAGCUGGUUUGAGAGGAUGACCAGCCACACUGGGAGCUGAGACACGGCCCAGACUCCUACGGGAGGCAGCAGUGGGGAAUCUUAGACAAUGGGCGCAAGCCUGAUCUAGCCAUGCCGCGUGAGCGAUGAAGGCCUUAGGGUUGUAAAGCUCUUUCGCUGGGGAAGAUAAUGACUGUACCCAGUAAAGAAGCCCCGGCUAACUCUGUGCCAGCAGCCGCGGUAAAAC